ACGCAUUGUGUCCAUACGUAGAGUCAGUCAACUGUGAAUUACAAUCUACCCGGAACAAUGCAGUGCGUCCAUAGAUGUAACACUAACGGCACAUCCACUUUACGCACACGAUACACUGCUGGUAUUUACUGGACAUAUUUGUUUUGACUGGGAUUAUAAUGUGAAUUGUGCGGUCAGAAUGUAAAUCAUCCCUCCCCACACACAGGUAGGAUAGCGAUGGAGAUCCAGAAUGACGUACAUUGAUUACAGGUACCCAGGCAUAGAUACCCAAGGUUGUUGUAACAAACUUUACCAGUGACAGAAUACUGAUACAGAUAUGGAUGGAGAAAUAGACUCAGCGUCCUGACGAUUGUCUGUUGAUCUACCUUUGACGGAGCUAAUAAUCUUCGGAGAAUAUUCAUAGAGAAACGUUCUUUCAAAAGGAUUUUUUUUUUUUAGUAUUUAUCUCUUGCAAAAAAGAACAAUGGAGUUAAUAGGUAAAACAGUUAUAUUUGUAUUAUCACUGUGUGUGAUAAUUGUGACAGGUCGCCAUACUGCUGAUCCUGCGAUAUCUCAGGCAACAGUGACAGACGCUACUGGUAAUUCAGCAGAUGAAAACAGCACCAUCACGUGGGCAACCCUGACCACUACUGUCAACUAUAAGGCAGAUGACCUGUCCUACUCUGAUGGUGGAAUGUCCACUCUGAACAGCAUGGCCAAGGGAUUUGUCAAUGUGUGCUUCCCAGCAGGUUUUCCAUGGGAUGUUGUUGACAAAUUAAUGGAUGGUACACUCAUGGAUGAUGUAUCAAGCAACUGGCAAUCAUAUGCCUCUCAGUUUGCUGGGUACGUUGUGAGUAUAGUGAUAGGGUUCCUGUUCAUCUUCCUAUUCCCACUCAUUGGAUGCUGCUUCUGCUGCUGUCGGUGCUGCGGCUGCUGUGGAGGCAAAAUGAUACAGAAGCGCAAGGACACGGAGUCAUCUUGUCGGCGGAAAGUUUACAUUGUGUCUCUCUUCAUAGUCAUUGUUUUUAUGGCGUCUGGAAUGGUUUGUGUGUACAUUUCUAACGACCAGUUUACAAAGACUGUGGAUACUAUUGACACAAGUGUAGCCAACACUUUGGACGACUUGUUAACAUUUGUCAACGCCACAAUUGAUCAAAUAGAACUCCUAGUGCAAGACAAUUUCAACUUUACAACGGACGUCGUCAAACGGGAUUUAGAUAGUAUAGGGUACCUGUUGGGUGUGCCUCUGCGGAACGCAAUAGGUGUGGACUCUGGUCUGGAUGCCUGUUUUGCCACCACCUAUACACUGGUGGAAUCGGCUAACAAUGCUACAACAGACCUGCUGCAAGUGAACACAUCAAUGGCUGUUUUAAACUCGGCCUUUAGUGAUUUGAGUACAGCUUUGUCAACUUUAAAAACAAGCCUUGAUACUACAUUGGCGAGCUGUGGAGCAAUACAGACUACAUGUAAUGGUAUUGAUACAACUCCUCUCACUACCGAAAUGGAUGCAACAGCUCUGCCUGACAUUUCCUCACAACUCACUAAAGCAACAGAAAUUCAGGACUCCAACCUGACUGCAAAAGUUCUUGAAGGUGAAGAGGGUUACUGGCAAAUUCCUUGGACAGUUCAUAAUGAAACCAAUAACACUAUUGCUUCAAUAAAAGACAAGAUUGAUGAGUUUUCUGACCUGAUCAAUCCUCUUAUUGAUUCCUUAUCCUCCGUGAGAUCUUCUGUUUUGUCAUCUGUUGAUACUGAUGCUUUACUAGAUGAUUUCUCUUCACAAAUGACCACAGCUAAAACAUAUGAUCAGUACAGGUGGUACGGAGGUGUAGGCCUGGCAUGCAUUGUGCUGCUAGUUGUUGUCCUACAACUUCUAGGACUUGUCUUUGCCCUAAUUGGCUAUGAUUCCAAGGUUGAUCCUCGUGAGAGAGGAUGCAUGUCCAACUCUGGAGGAGAAAUGUUCAUGGCGUCUGUUGGAUUUGUUUUUAUCUUUUCCUCACUACUCAUGUUGCUGACCACCCUAACUUACCUUAUUGGGGCACCACUGGAGAGGUUUGUCUGUCAACCAAUCACAGACUCGGAUAUGACAGACUUGGACAGGCUGGUUGAUGAGGUGGCCUUCAAACAGCUGUAUGGAGGUACUGGAUCUGUGCUCGGAAAGAUGCUCUACAGUAAUUCUACCUAUGACAUACCUAUCUCAGGACUACUCAAGGAUUGUCAAGCUAGUAAGACUGUGUACAUGGCCUUAAAGGCAGACACUUAUGUCAACACAUCCCAGAUAGACAACUACAAAACAGAAUUUGAUAUUCAAUCAGAGCUUGAUAAGAUUGACGAUGCUGUCGACUUUUCAAGUAUUGCUAUUCUGACGCCGUCAUUGCUAUCGAACCUGGAGGACACAAAGUCUGCCGUGAAUGUUGAUUUUGCUUCCUAUGCAGCAGAGCUGAACAAAGAUCUUACAUCAACUAAUUUGACAGAAUUUGCUGAUAGCUUGAGAACAUUGGCUACUGCUGCUGGUGCUGCUGGAGAAACAUCAACACAAAAUGAUUUGAAUACUCAUGCUGCAACUCUGGAUACCAUUCAGAGUACAGAGGUGGCUGCUCUUAAUGAGGCAGUGGCUAAUCUUACAAGAGACUUAGAUAACAUGGCGAAAACUGUCAAUGGCACAUCGGCCAAAGUAGACAAAGUGAUUGAAUGUCUCAACCAGACUGAGCUGUAUAUACAUGCCAACACUUCAGCCCUCCUCGGAACGCUGGCCACAAAUUUUGCAGAUAGAAUAUUUGCUUCAAUAGAUUCCUUUAUCAGCAAACUCUUUACUGCUCUGAAGACUGAAUUGGGAAAGUGUGACCCAAUCUGGAAUCUAUACAACAACUUUUUUGUUAUCACCCUGUGUGGAUACACUGUAGACACUCUGAAUGGAUUUUGGUUUGGCUUGGGAUGGUGUCUAUUCUUCUUCAUACCUAGUAUCAUCUUCGCUGUCAAACUCGCUAAACACUUCCGUCGGAUGAAAGAAGUGGAAACUGUAGAUGAACAUUUUGAAGAUCCUAAUUAUGAAAAACGUCCAGUGCCUGAGCAGAAACGUGAAACCGCAAUCACAGAUGGCAAUACUACUGUUUAUGUUGUGCCCGAUUCUUCAACAAACCCACCUAUAGAAAUCCCAUCAAAUAACGACAAUUUAUAAAAUUCAAAACUAGAUAGCCCUCCCCCUGGUUCAGGUCUUACACCAGUACCAACCCUGGAAGAAUUGUACCCUAAAAUUGAUGGUACUUUCCCUAAACCAACUUCUUCCCUAGAGGCAAAUUCAGAUCAAACAGCAAAUACACCUACACAACCGGGAUCUUCCCAGGACAAAUGGCGCCCACCCUCUGCACUUAGUAACAAAUCUGUCAAGGACAUAACACGCCCAUCCACUGCACUAAGUAACACAUCUGACAAGAACAAGUCGCGUCCUGUCUCUGCACUAAUUAACACAUCUGACAAGAACAAGUCGCGUCCUGCCUCUGCAACUAGUAAAAAGUCAAUUGACCAUAGGCCUGUGUUCAAAGGCAACAAGGUCAGCCACGCCGACGAUCCCGAAAAGAAUGGUCAAACCUUUCCGACAUACGCAGAGGC
rnacentral:misc_RNA from 1 species